AGACUUGGUGGCAGCAGUGGGAUCAAAAGACACUUCCAGCAGCUUGGGGACAGGGAGAUACGCAAUCAUGGUACCAUCAGCCUCUUCUCAAGUUCACUGCCUCUCACUGUCUCCAGGGGCCGUGCCCCUGCAACGCAGGUCCUGCCUGUCCGAAAGCCUCGGGCUCUGAGAGCUGUUGACAAGUCAGUGACUCCAUGCUUCCCGGCUGUUCGAAGCCUGAACACCCUCCGUAGCAUGUUCUGAUGGACUCCAAGUGGUUCAGGGCCACGGGCCUUUGUCAGCCUUCUUCAGCAUCUCCCAAGUGCUGCACUGAGAAGGGAGCAGCGUCCCACCCCUGUUACAAGAUGCAGGUGCUGGCUGUGCUCAGUCACCAAAGAGGUGACCAAAAGGGCCCGUCUGUUUGCUGACUGUUAACUGAAAAAGGACAGAGUCUCCGAGGAAUAACUACGAUUGUCUCCAGACACUAGUUCGUUACCUGAGUCCUAAUUUAAGCCCUGAAAGAAUUCAGCUGUCUCCAGGAAGAGUUAAACUAAUCCAGGAGUUUCCUGGACCCACAGCUGA